rnacentral:rRNA from 1 species
GGCAGGCUUACACAUGCAAGUCGAGGGGUAUUGGUUUUCGGACCAAGAGACCGGCGCACGGGUGCGUAACGCGUAUGCAAUCUACCUUUCACAGAGGGAUAGCCCAGAGAAAUUUGGAUUAAUACCUCAUAGCAUUGCAGGAUGGCAUCAUCCAGCAAUUAAAGUCACAACGGUAAAAGAUGAGCAUGCGUCCCAUUAGCUAGUUGGUAAGGUAACGGUUACCAAGGCUACGAUGGGUAGGGGUCCUGAGAGGGAGAUCCCCCACACUGGUACUGAGACACGGACCAGACUCCUACGGGAGGCAGCAGUGAGGAAUAUUGGACAAUGGGCGCAAGCCUGAUCCAGCCAUGCCGCGUGCAGGAUGACGGUCCUAUGGAUUGUAAACUGCUUUUGCACAGGAAGAAACACUCGGUCGUGACCGAGCUUGACGGUACUGUAUGAAUAAGGACCGGCUAACUCCGUGCCAACAGCCGCGGUAAUACGGAGGGUCCAAGCGUUAUCCGGAAUCAUUGGGUUUAAAGGGUCCGUAGGCGGCCAAAUAAGUCAGUGGUGAAAGCCCAUCGCUCAACGAUGGAACGGCCAUUGAUACUGUUUGGCUUGAAUUAUUGGGAAGUAACUAGAAUAUGUAGUGUAGCGGUGAAAUGCUUAGAGAUUACAUGGAAUACCAAUUGCGAAGGCAGGUUACUACUAAUAUAUUGACGCUGAUGGACGAAAGCGUGGGGAGCGAACAGGAUUAGAUACCCUGGUAGUCCACGCCCGUAAACGAUGGGAUACUAGCUGGUUCGG